rnacentral:rRNA from 1 species
GAUGAACGCUGACAGAAUGCUUAACACAUGCAAGUCGAUGGGGAAGUGGUGCUUGCACCAUGGCAACCAUGGCGGACGGGUGAGUAACGCGUAAGGGACUUACCUGCAGGACUGGGAUAACAGGGGGAAACUCCUGACAAGACCGGAUAAUGUCAUGGAGCUGCAUGGCUUUAUGAUGAAAGGAGACGCCUGCGGAGAGCCUUGCGUCCUAUUAGCUAGUUGGUGAGGUAAUGGCUCACCAAGGCGAAGAUAGGUAGCCGGCCUGAGAGGGUGGACGGCCACAAGGGGACUGAGAUACGGCCCUUACUCCUACGGGAGGCAGCAGUGGGGAAUAUUGGACAAUGGGGGCAGCCCUGAUCAAGCAAUUCUGUGUGCACGAAGAAGGUUUUCGGAUUGUAAAGGGCUUUCAGCAGGGAAGAAGUAAGUGACGGUACCUGCAGAAGAAGCGACGGCUAAAUACGUG